UUAUCGGAAUUGGAUGAGCCCGCGUAAGAUUAGCUAGUUGGUGGGGUAACGGCCUACCAAGGCGACGAUCUUUAGCUGGUCUGAGAGGAUGAUCAGCCACACUGGGACUGAGACACGGCCCAGACUCCUACGGGAGGCAGCAGUGGGGAAUAUUGGACAAUGGGCGCAAGCCUGAUCCAGCAAUACCGCGUGUGUGAAGAAGGCCUGAGGGUUGUAAAGCACUUUCAAUAGGGAGGAAAAAGCGUUGGUUAAGAGCUGAUGCCUUGACAUUACCUAUAGAAGAAGCACCGGCUAACUCCGUGCCAGCAGCCGCGGUAAUACGGAGGGUGCGAGCGUUAAUCGGAAUUACUGGGCGUAAAGCGUGCGUAGGUGGUUAAUUAAGUCAGAUGUGAAAGCCCCGGGCUUAACCUGGGAACGGCAUUUGAUACUGGUUAACUUGAGUUUAGGAGAGGAGAGUGGAAUUUCCGGUGUAGCGGUGAAAUGCGUAGAGAUCGGAAGGAACACCAGUGGCGAAGGCGGCUCUCUGGCCUAAAACUGACGCUGAGGUACGAAAGCGUGGGUAGCAAACAGGAUUAGAUACCCUGGUAGUCCACGCCGUAAACGAUGUCAACUAGCCGUUGGGUCUUUAUUAAGACUUAGUGGUGCAGCUAACGCAUUAAGUUGACCGCCUGGGAGUACGGCCGCAAGGUUAAAACUCAAAUGAAUUUGACGGGGGCCCGC
rnacentral:rRNA from 1 species